rnacentral:tRNA from 1 species
AAAUCUUUAAGUUAAAAAAACUGAGGACCUUCAAAGUCUUUAAUGGUUGUUAGGCCAAGGUUUG